UACGUAGGGCGCAAGCGUUGUCCGGAAUUAUUGGGCGUAAAGAGCUCGUAGGCGGUUUGUCGCGUCUGCUGUGAAAACUCGAGGCUCAACCUCGGGCUUGCAGUGGGUACGGGCAGACUAGAGUGCGGUAGGGGUGACUGGAAUUCCUGGUGUAGCGGUGGAAUGCGCAGAUAUCAGGAGGAACACCGGUGGGCGAAGGCGGGGUCUCUGGGCAGUAA
rnacentral:rRNA from 1 species